rnacentral:rRNA from 1 species
UACAGAGGGUGCGAGCGUUAAUCGGAAUUACUGGGCGUAAAGCGUGCGUAGACGGUUAUUUAAGUCGGGUGUGAAAGCCCCGGGCUCAACCUGGGAAUUGCAUUCGAGACUGCAUAGCUAGGGUGCGGAAGAGGGAAGCGGAAUUUCCGGUGUAGCGGUGAAAUGCGUAGAUAUCGGAAGGAACACCAGUGGCGAAAGCGGCUUCCUGGUCCAGCACCGACGUUCAGGCACGAAAGCGUGGGGGAGCAAACAGG